rnacentral:rRNA from 1 species
UACGUAGGGGGCAAGCGUUGUCCGGAAUCAUUGGGCGUAAAGAGCGUGUAGGCGGUCCGGUCAGUCGGUUGUGAAAGUCAAGGGCUCAACCCUUGAAUGCCGGCCGAUACUGCCGGGGCUAGAGUCCGGAAGAGGAGAGUGGAAUUCCUGGUGUAGCGGUGAAAUGCGCAGAUAUCAGGAAGAACACCAAUGGCGAAAGCAGCUCUCUGGGACGGUACUGACGCUGAGACGCGAAAGCGUGGGGAGCGAACAGG